AAUCAACGCUGGCGGCGUGCCUAACACAUGCAAGUCGAACGCGAAAGUGGAGCAAUCCAUGAGUAGAGUGGCAAACGGGUGAGUAACACGUGGGUGACCUGCCUUCGAGUGGGGGAUAACGUCCCGAAAGGGACGCUAAUACCGCAUAACAUGCUGUCUUUUAAGAGAGAGACAUCAAAGUCGGGGACCGCAAGGCCUGGCGCUUGAAGAGGGGCCCGCGCCUGAUUAGCUAGUUGGUGGGGUAAUGGCUCACCAAGGCAACGAUCAGUAUCCGGCCUGAGAGGGCGGACGGACACACUGGGACUGAGACACGGCCCAGACUCCUACGGGAGGCAGCAGUGGGGAAUUGUUCGCAAUGGGCGCAAGCCUGACGACGCAACGCCGCGUGGAGGAUGAAGAUCUUCGGGUCGUAAACUCCUUUCGAUCGAGACGAACGGCCCCUGGGUUAACAGCCUAGGGGAGUGACGGUACCGAGAGAAGAAGCCCCGGCUAACUCCGUG
rnacentral:rRNA from 1 species